rnacentral:rRNA from 1 species
CAGCCGCCACGGGAAUACGAGGGGGGCAAGCGUUGUUCGGAAUUAUUGGGCGUAAAGGGUGCGUAGGCGGUUUGAUAAGUCAUCUGUGAAAUCUCUGGGCUCAACCAGAGUCUGCAGGCGAAACUGUCGGGCUUGAGUAUGGGAGAGGUGAGUGGAAUUUCCGGUGUAGCGGUGAAAUGCGUAUAUAUCGGAAGGAACACCUGUGGCGAAAGCGGCUCACUGGACCAUUACUGACGCUGAUGCACGAAAGCUAGGGGAGCAAACAGGAUUAGAUACCCGCGUAGUCCCUGUCUCUUAUACA